rnacentral:rRNA from 1 species
UUUUAAUUAGGAUCUUGUAUGAAUGAUUGGACAAAAGAAGGACUGUCUUUAUAUUAGAGUUUGAAUUUAACUUUUAAGUGAAAAGGCUUAAAUAUUCUAAAGGGACGAUAAGACCCUAUAAAACUUUACAUUGGUAAUUUAUAUUAUUAAAUUUUAUUAUAAUAAUUGUUUAGAUUUAUUUGUUAUGUUGGGGAGACAAAAAUUAUAAUUUAUAUUAACUGUUUUUAAAAAAUUCAUUAAUUAAUGAUUAAGUUAAUUUAAUUGAUCCUUUAUAAAGAUUUAAAGAUUAAGUUACUUUAGGGAUAACAGCGUUAUUUUUUUUGAGAGUUCAUAUCGAAAAAAGAGAUUGCGACCUCGAUGUUGAAUUAAAAGUUCUUUAUAAUGUAGAUGUUAUAAGAGAAGGUCUGUUCGACCUUUAAUUUUUUAC